rnacentral:rRNA from 1 species
UACAGAGGUGGCAAGCGUUGUUCGGAAUUACUGGGCGUAAAGGGCGCGUAGGCGGCCAUCUAAGUCAGACGUGAAAUCCCCCGGCUUAACCUGGGAACUGCGUCUGAUACUGGGAGGCUCGAGUUUGGGAGAGGGAUGUGGAAUUCCAGGUGUAGCGGUGAAAUGCGUAGAUAUCUGGAGGAACACCGGUGGCGAAGGCGGCAUCCUGGACCAACACUGACGCUGAUGCGCGAAAGCUAGGGGAGCAAACGGG